GCGUGGAUGAAGAAGGUUUUCGGAUUGUAAAGUCCUUUCGGCGGGGACGAUGAUGACGGUACCCGCAGAAGAAGCCCCGGCUAACUUCGUGCCAGCAGCCGCGGUAAUACGAAGGGGGCUAGCGUUGCUCGGAAUGACUGGGCGUAAAGGGCGCGUAGGCGGAAUGCUUUGUCGGGCGUGAAAUUCCAGGGCUUAACCUUGGGGCUGCGUUCGAGACGGGUAUUCUAGAGUUUGGAAGAGGGUCGUGGAAUUCCCAGUGUAGAGGUGAAAUUCGU
rnacentral:rRNA from 1 species